rnacentral:misc_RNA from 1 species
GAUGAAGAACGUAGCGAAAUGCGAUAAGUAAUGUGAAUUGCAGAAUUCCGUGAAUCAUCGAAUCUUUGAACGCACAUUGCGCCCCCUGGUAUUCCGGGGGACAUGCCUGUCCGAGCGUCAUUGCAACCCUCAAGCGCGGCUUGUGUGUUGGGCUUCGUCCCCCCGUGGACGUGCCCGAAAGGCAGUGGCGGCGUCCCGAAUGGUGCCCGAGCGUAUGGGAACUCUCUUCCGCUCGAACCGGCCCAUUCGGCGCUGGUCGAACCCCAAUUUUUUUUUACCGGUUGACCUCGGAUCAGGUAGGGAUACCCGCUGAACUUAAGAAUAUCAAUAAGCGGAGGA